CGUUCCUGUGUACCUUUUAGUUGUGGCUUGAAGAUGAAUGCCUGAAGCCCUGCAAGACAGAUUAAAGCACAGGCACCAGCAGUGCAUGCAAAGGCUCUGUUCCCAGGAGCAUGAGAGGGUGCCAAGCCAUUCUGCUUCCAAUUACACGAGUAUUGUACCUCCUGCUCCAAAGAUUCCAAGGACAGAUUUGACUUCUGGCUUUUCCUUGCCCUUCAUUUCUGAGGGGGGUCAUGGUGUGAGGUGACCACUUGGAUGCCAUGAUCAGCACAUGAGGAGACUGAAACAGCACGCAGCACACAAGCAAAAUGUUCGCCCAAAUGAAACACAAAUCAAGAACUACCCACACCUGGCGAGUGGUGGCCAUCUGUGUGCUCUUGGCUGUGCACCU